AGAUAAAUAUUUGUAGUUUAUAAAAUUUAUUUUUAAUUUAUUUUACAUGUAAAUUUUAGUAUGAAUUUAUAAUUAUUUUAAUAAUAAUUUAUUAUUAAACAGUAAUUAAUAUUAAAAAUUUAAGAAAUUAAGAUUUAGUAAUAUUAAAAUUAAUAACAAAUUUUGUGCCAGCAGUUGCGGUUAUACAAAAAUUAUAAUAAAUUUUUUUAGUUAAUAAUAAAAAUAUAAUAAAUAAUAAAUUAAAUAUUGAAUAAUUAAGUGAAAUUUUAAUUCAAUUUAAAUUUAAUUUUUAUUUUUAAUUUAAAAAAUUUUAAAUAUAAACUAGGAUUAGAUACCCUAUUAUUAAAAAUUUAAUUAAAAAUACUAAAAAAUUAAAUAAUUAAUUAUUGAAACUUAAAUAAUUUGGCGGUAUUUUAGUUCAUUUAGAGGAAUCUGUUAAUUAAUUGAUAUUCCACGAAUAAAUUUACUUAAUUUAUUAUUUUGUAUAUCGUUGUUAAAAAAAUAUUUUUAAAUAAAAAUAAUAUUUAAAAAUUUAAAUUUAAAAUUAAUUCAGAUCAAGAUGCAGAUUAUAAUUAAGAAUAUAAUGGAUUACAAUAAAUUUAUUUAAUAAUGAAUUUUAUUUUGUAAUAAAUAAUUGAAGGUGGAUUUAAAUGUAAUUUUAUAAAUUUUUAUAAAAUGAUUAAAAAUUAAAAUAUGUACAUAUUGCCCGUCGCUUUCAUUUAAAAAUUGAAAUAAGUCGUAACAAAGUAGAGGUACUGGAAAGUGUUUCUAGAAAGA
rnacentral:ncRNA from 1 species